rnacentral:rRNA from 1 species
CCUAACACAUGCAAGUCGAGCGGUAACAGAAAGAAAGCUUGCUUUCUUUGCUGACGAGCGGCGACGGGUGAGUAAUGCCUGGGAAUAUGCCUUAGUGUGGGGGAUAACUAUUGGAAACGAUAGCUAAUACCGCAUAACGUCCUUGUUCAUUACGAGCGGGACCAAAGAGGGGGACCUUCGGGCCUCUCGCGCUAAGAUUAGCCCAGGUGGGAUUAGCUAGUUGGUGAGGUAAAGGCUCACCAAGGCAACGAUCCCUAGCUGGUCUGAGAGGAUGAUCAGCCACACUGGAACUGAGACACGGUCCAGACUCCUACGGGAGGCAGCAGUGGGGAAUAUUGCACAAUGGGGGAAACCCUGAUGCAGCCAUGCCGCGUGUAUGAAGAAGGCCUUCGGGUUGUAAAGUACUUUCAGUCGUGAGGAAGGCAUUGUAGUUAAUAGCUGCAGUGCUUGACGUUAGCGACAGAAGAAGCACCGGCUAACUCCGUG